rnacentral:rRNA from 1 species
CACGUAGGGGACGAGCGUUGUCCGGAUUCAUUGGGCGUAAAGCGCGCGUAGGCGGCUCGGAAAGUCGGUCGUGAAAGCCCGGGGCUCAACCCCGGCAGUGCACCCGAAACGACGAUGCUAGAGUGCUGGAGAGGCGGGUGGAAUUCCUGGUGUAGAGGUGAAAUUCGUAGAUAUCAGGAGGAACACCGGUGGCGAAGGCGACCCGCUGGCCAGCGACUGACGCUGAGACGCGAAAGCGUGGGGAGCAAACAGG